rnacentral:lncRNA from 1 species
UAAUGGUCUUAGGAGUUACAUAGGUUAUAAGGUAUAAUGGAGGAUAAUGAGUGAAAUAAUGUAUGAAAGGUUACAAAAGUUUUAAUGGACAAUGUAACUUUUCUUGGCUAACCGUUGGUUUGUUGACAAGCUGCAACAGUAACAAAUAUUGUAACUCCAAAAUGGAGUAAUACAGCAAUCAAUAUUGCCAUUAACAUUCUGCAGCCCAUGAGGAGUCAACCAAACAGCAGUAUCAAU